rnacentral:tRNA from 1 species
CAGGGAUAGCUCAGCGGUAGAGCGGCUGCCUGUUAAGCAGCAACGCGAGGGUUCGAAUCCCUCUCCCUG